GAUAAUGUUUGUUAAUGAAAGAGAGUACGGGACAAAUUAACAUUUAAACCUUAAACUAGCAGCGCACGUCACUUUCUGAGUGAAGUGCGCGACGUGCGCGUGCCCGUCAUUUUGUAACGGUCAACUUCCAGCGGACGGACACGGAGGAAAGGGCCUGACAACCACCAGUUGAGUCCAUGAUCAGGGAAGAGACAGUCUGGGCAGCAGCAACAAGACAACUAUUACAAGUAGAGAUGGGUUUCAAGAACUGGUACUAAUUUGGUUCCUGACUUGUUCGACAGAACCACAUAUCCUCCAAAUCAUCUCUGCGUGGAUGGCAGCAAGGAUCCAGGAUCAAGAGAUCAUUCUUCAUGGAGACUGUUCCACAGGAAGCAGUUUCUCCUGGGUCAUCCUGACCAUUCUGCUGUCCUGGAUGUAAGGCCGUGCUGGAACUACAUUUCUCGUUGUUGAAAGAUUAGUGCAGCGGUAUCCAGGCAUCAACGCCUCUCGUUUACUUUUAAAUGAAGUGACGUCAAGGAUGGUGAAAUUAAUUCUAGAAAUUAAUUCUAAAUAGAAGUUGAAGACUUCUCAAGCACCAAUGCAGCCGUUCUCCAGUCAGAACAUCUUAUGCAAAUACCCAAGCGCAGACGCAAGCCAAUCAAGUGCAUGCAAUACCAGAAAACUAAUGUGAUUGGCUGUCACUAUGAGAAGAGACAGUAAUUCUGAUCCGAUAUCAGUGUCGUUUUUUGCUAAAAAAAAUUUAAAUCAAUGUAGAAUUUUCUAUACUUCUGUGUAGGGAUGUCAAUUUUCAAUCAUUUCCAUGAUCGAUCGUCGUUUAAAUUAAUGAUCAAAUAAUCGAUUAAUCGUUAACCUUAAUGCUGCAAAGUCUAUUGCAGUAACUCCCAGUCACUGGUAUGACAGGAUGUGCAAAAGUGUGUGUGUGUAUAUAUAUAUAUAUAUAUAUAAAACUGUAAAAUAUAUAUUUUACAGUAAAGACCAAAAGUUUGGACACACCUUCUCAUUCAAAGAGUUUUCUUUAUUUUCAUGACUAUGAAAAUUGUAGAGUCACACUGAAGUCAUCAAGGGCUAUUUGAGCAAGAAGGAGAGUGAUGGAGUGCUGCACCAGAUGACCUGGCCUCCACAGUCACCGGACCUGAAACCAAUCCAGAUGGUUUAGGGGUGAGCUGGACCGCAAACUGAAGGCAAAAGGGCCAACAAGUGCUAAGCAUCUCUCGGGGAACUCCUUCAAGACUGUUGAAGACCAUUUCAGAUUUGAGGGAAAGAUUAAAAACAAGGAGGUCUGGGAAUGACUGAAGGGAACUGACAGCAGUGAGGGAAGGAAGUAAUCACCAGAAUCUCAGAGAAGGAUGUUGACAGCAGGCCCAGGAUGAAGAAGAGGAGGAAGAACAUGUUUAACAAUUUUCUAUAAGCUUGCCAUGUGUUAUAAUAAAAACAAUGAACAUGACUACAAUAAUAUGCUAAAUGUUAUUAAAAGAUUCCAGUUUGCAAGAAAUCUGAGUGUCUGACUCUACACUAGAGGAACUCUUUCCUGAAGAAGAUCAGGUGCUGAGAAGAAGCCUUGUUCUACAGCAAAACACUGCAUCAAGCCUCCUGUCCUUCCCUCAGAAGAGUCUGUCUUCUGCUGCUGGGGUAAGAAACACACUCUUCCUCUUCUCUAUCAGCUGUCCAGCACCUAACUCUGCCUCCUCAGCACUGUCUGAAAGAGUCUUCUCCACAGUCAGUAAUCACAGAUCACAGAUUCUUCUGAGAAAGUCGAUAUGCUCAUUUUCUUAAAAAACUUUGUUUUUUCGGGUGGGACAAAUAAUACAGGAGAGAUGCUAGAAAUCUCUAUAUUGUUUAUUUUUCAUAUCUUUACGCUUUAUGAAUGUUUUUCUUCUGAGAAGCUCAAAAAUUAUGGUUCUUUGGUAAUUGUUAUAUUGUUUAGGUUUAUCCUCUGAUAGUGAGCACAGAGCCCUGAUCAUGACAUGCAAGAAAAAGAAAGAAAUCAUGUCCAUGAUUUACUAAUUCCUUCCCUCUAUGUACUAAAACGUGCACGAUUACUUUUACAUUUCAUUGAUUUGCUAAAUCGUAUGCACAAUUUACUAAUUCGUUCUCUUGAUGUAUAAAUAGUGUACACAUUUUAGCAAAUCGAGGGAAUGAAAUAGAAAAUCGUGCGCAUGAAUUAGCCUAAUUUUUUUCCUGCAUGUCGUGUAAUUAAAGCACAUCACCACCAGACAUUUAUACCAGGAGCCUCAUAUACGACGCUCACAGUUUUACUUUGUGCAGUAUCUCUGUGCAGUAUCUGCUGAAUUGUUUCAUAUCUAUUUAUCAUGUAUUUUUUGUUGCACUAAAUUAUGUUGUAUCAACAAGUUUACUGAUAAUUAUUUAUAAUUUUCACUAAUAACGUCAUUAACCAUCUCCCCAUCUUUAAGACAAAAAUUUUCUAUUGUUUAUAUUGUGUAAUCUAUGAAUUGAUGUGUUUAGUUUUCUGUGCUCAUAACUUAGUAACAUUUUGCAUGUUUAAAGAACAGGUGCGAUGUUCAAAAUGUUUUGGCUUCGUAUUUGUACAAAGUAGUGCUGAAUAAAUAUUGAUUUGUGAAUGAA